CAGUAGCCGCGGUAAUACGUAGGGGGCGAGCGUUGUCCGAAGUUACUGGGCGUAAAGCGCGCGUAGGCGGCUUCUUAAGUCUGAGGUGAAAGGUUCAACGCUUAACGUGAACAGUGCCUUGGAUACUGGGGAGCUUGAGUAUGGGAGAGGGCAGUGGAAUGGCUGGUGUAGCGGUGAAAUGCGUAGAUAUCAGUCGGAACACCCAUAGCGAAGGCAGCUGCCUGGCCUAAUACUGACGCUGAGGUGCGAAAGCGUGGGGAGCGAACGGGAUUAGAUACCCCUGUAGUCCCUGUCUCUUAUA
rnacentral:rRNA from 1 species